CCCCCCCCCCCCAUGUGACUUUUUGCAUUUAAAUCAUAUUAUUGUUUUUCUGAUAUUGUAACUAUUUCAAUUUAUUCAGCCUAAGAAUAGGCUGAGCCUAUAGGAGCAGGUCUCGGCUCUGUUCCAGCAGUUUUAAUUGAACUUGAAUACCUGAUAUUUGUUGGACUGAGCUACAGUGAUCAGCCGUUCCAUUAGACACACAAUUUUUCGACCAAGCAAAAGACUGCUUUUUGUUUCCUAUGGCCGUAAAUCUCAAGAUUCAUUGAAAUUUCAAUAACAAAGCUUCCCCCCCCCCCCCCCCCCC